rnacentral:rRNA from 1 species
CCGUCGGUGGGGAUAACGUAUAGGAAACGUACGCUAAUACCGCAUGCGCCCGUUCGGGGAAAGUCGGGGACCGCAAGGCCUGACGCGAUUGGAUGAGCCCAUGUUCGAUUAGCUAGUUGGCGGGUAACGGCCCACCAAGGCGACGAUCGAUAGCUGGUCUGAGAGGAUGAUCAGCCACACUGGAACUGAGACACGGUCCAGACUCCUACGGGAGGCAGCAGUAGGGAAUAUUGGACAAUGGGCGCAAGCCUGAUCCAGCCAUGCCGCGUGAGUGAAGAAGGCCCUCGGGUUGUAAAGCUCUUUUGUUGGGGAAGAAAAGCAGUUGGUUAAUACCCGAUUGUUCUGACGGUACCCAAAGAAUAAGCACCGGCUAACUUCGUG